rnacentral:lncRNA from 1 species
AACCUACCCUUCCUAGUUCUGCCCCAUUGCUUCGGGGUUCUUCUCCCCCUUCUACCUCUCUUGGCGGCUGUACUCAGCAUGGAGGGAUCAACUCCCCCUGAACUUGAACUCUCAGAAUCCUUAGACUUUUCCACAUUUUCUUCAUCCAUAUCCACUUGCAGACCUACAUCCCUCCUCUGCACCUCCAUCUUCUCUUCUCUGCUGGCAUCAACAGACCUUCCAGGGUCUCUUGAUGUUUCCCCACUGCCAACUAUACCUGACUGUACUCCUGGCAGAACGGGAGGAAA